AUUGAACGCUGGCGGCAGGCUAACACAUGCAAGUCGAGCGGCAGCGGGAAGGUAGCUUGCUACUUUUGCCGGCGAGCGGCGGACGGGUGAGUAAUGCCUGGGAAAUUGCCCAGUCGAGGGGGAUAACAGUUGGAAACGACUGCUAAUACCGCAUACGCCCUACGGGGGAAAGCAGGGGACCUUCGGGCCUUGCGCGAUUGGAUAUGCCCAGGUGGGAUUAGCUAGUUGGUGAGGUAAUGGCUCACCAAGGCGACGAUCCCUAGCUGGUCUGAGAGGAUGAUCAGCCACACUGGAACUGAGACACGGUCCAGACUCCUACGGGAGGCAGCAGUGGGGAAUAUUGCACAAUGGGGGAAACCCUGAUGCAGCCAUGCCGCGUGUGUGAAGAAGGCCUUCGGGUUGUAAAGCACUUUCAGCGAGGAGGAAAGGUUGAUGCCUAAUACGUAUCAACUGUGACGUUACUCGCAGAAGAAGCACCGGCUAACUCCGUGCCAGCCGCCGCGGUAAGAC
rnacentral:rRNA from 1 species